UGGGGAAUAUUGCACAAUGGGCGCAAGCCUGAUGCAGCCAUGCCGCGUGUGUGAAGAAGGCCUUCGGGUUGUAAAGCACUUUCAGCGAGGAGGAAGGUGGUGAACUUAAUACGUUCAUCAAUUGACGUUACUCGCGAAGAAGCACCGGCUAACUCCGUGCCAGCAGCCGCGGUAAUACGGAGGGUGCAAGCGUUAAUCGGAAUUACUGGGCGUAAAGCGCACGCAGGCGGUUUGUUAAGUCAGAUGUGAAAUCCCCGGGCUCAACCUGGGAACUGCAUUUGAAACUGGCAAGCUAGAGUCUCGUAGAGGGGGGUAGAAUUCCAGGUGUAGCGGUGAAAUGCGUAGAGAUCUGGAGGAAUACCGGUGGCGAAGGCGGCCCCCCUGGACGAAGACUGACGCUCAGGUGCGAAAGCGUGGGGAGCAAACAGAUUAGAUACCCUGGUAGUCACGCUGUAAACGAUGUC
rnacentral:rRNA from 1 species